UUAACAUAAAGUAAAAUAAAACAAAGACCAAUGAAGCAGUAGAUCAAAGCACUGCUUCAUUGGUUCAAGGAAAGCCACGCUGCAGAAACGAUGGAUUACAGAACUGCUGCAGGGUCUGUAAUUGUGAGUCUGUAAUCCUGAAAAACAGCCCCCCAAACAACGGCCACUCUGAGGGACCAAUAAGGGAAUUGUUAAGCAGAAAGGCUAUUGAUGUUGGUGGAUCGAAUCAUUUCUUAACGAUACCCGAAAAGAACCGGUUCCCACUACCCAUUCCUAUUGGGGGCUGUUACAUCAAUAAUUUUGGCUGUUUUCUCUUGCUGAUCCUUCUUUAUCCUUUUCCAGUUCUUCUUGGAAUCAUCCAGCCCUUUUGUAAUGUUUCCAUAUGUCCACUCAAAGUUUUUUCUUCUCUUUUGCUGUAUUUUCCACUGGUCUGUCUUGCUGGUUUUGGUACAGGUGUAAGAUUGUUGCUUUCUUCCUCUUCUACAAGGGCUCUGCCAAGGUUUGCUGCCAAUUUUAUAAUGGAGGUUACUGGGAAAAGGUCUCGGUGUGCUACUUUUUUCAUGAUCUCUGCUUCAGAACUCUAAGUACUGUCCAAUACUUAUUAUUGAUGCUCAGUAAGACCCAGACAGCCUUAUCUGUGAAGGAGAUAUAUUCCAUGCACUAAUUUCUGUAUGUAACCUUUUCCUGGUUUUAGUAUCUAACUUAUUCAGCUCACCCUGUGGCCAGUCUACUGUGCCAAACCCACAGGUCACCACUGGUAUUGCAAACUGAGUCUAAGAAUUUUAAAU